UCGACAACUACAACUGGUCCACCCUCUACCACUACCACCGCUGGGUCGACAACCACGACAGGUGCCAGCUCCACAACUACAACUGGUCCACCCUCUACCACUACCACCGCUGGGUCGACAACCACGACAGGUGCCAGCUCCACAACUACAACUGGACCACCCUCUACCACUACCACCGCUGG